rnacentral:pre_miRNA from 1 species
AACUGGAAGAGGAAGAAAAUGAGCAUCUCAGAGCAUUGGACAUGGGAACAUGGAGGAAGGUCUAAACUAGUGUGUCUCUCUACAACUAGGCCAACCUUUUUCUUCGGAAUUUUCUCAAUGCCUCCCAUGCCUGUUGUUCUCAGGUGCUCCUUCCUCUCCCUUAUGAUG